rnacentral:tmRNA from 1 species
GGGGAUGUUCUGGCUUCGACGCUGGUGAUGAAACUCAAUGAUGCAUGUCGAGAGUGUAUGUCCUCUCGUUAAUCAAACAUAUAUUGUUAUAGUCGCAAACGACGAAACUUACGCUCUAGCAGCUUAAACCCUGCU